rnacentral:rRNA from 1 species
UACGUAGGGGGCGAGCGUUGUCCGGAUUCAUUGGGCGUAAAGAGCUCGUAGGCGGUUCGGUAAGUCAGGUGUAAAAACUCCAGGCUCAACUUGGAGAGGCCAACUGAUACUGCCGUGACUAGAGUCCGGUAGAGGAGCAUGGAAUUCCUGGUGUAGCGGUGAAAUGCGCAGAUAUCAGGAGGAACACCGGUGGCGAAGGCGGGUCUCUGGGCAGUAACUGACGCUGAGGAGCGAAAGCGUGGGGAGCGAACAGG